AUUCAGCUUCCCAGCUUGUAGCAUUGGACAAUGGCGAACAGACCUCCUUUUAUUACUUGUUCGUGGGGUGUGUUUGUGUAUGUGUUGUUCAGAGGAGAAGAAACAUGGCCGGACUCAUAUCUAGUUGUGUUGCUGUGGGAAGGAAGCAGCGUGUUGGAAGAGGGCCUUAACGCAGCCGCCUUUCCCAAGAGUUCGGGGAGUCAUUCUGAUGAGCCAUCAGCAGGAACUGAGCUGAUGGAGGAUGGGAGAACCCUGGUAACCGUCAGGCACCACACUCGCGGCUUGGCCUGUAGGAGAUGCAGCACUUCCCUCUACUGGAAGGAGGACCUAACGACAAGGGGUCUUCGACGGGCCCCCCAGAUUGCGCAGCCACAGUACUUCAGAAGGUACUUGAUAUCAAUAUGUGGGCUCUGGAGAGUUAAUAAAAGACUAUAUCAGGCUGCAUUUGCUUUCAAGGACAGAGACCCUGGCAUAUCCCUUUAGUACCUAGCAUGUGGUGUAUAAUAAAUGCUCAAUAAAUGUAUGUUGUAAAGGCAAGUGGCUUGGUACUUCUAAAACUAUCAUUGACGAUAAUAAUUAUAUACAAAAUUAUAU
rnacentral:lncRNA from 9 species